AAUAACGGCCUGUUACACGGUGUUGUUCUUAGCCAACUUAAAAGGGAAUCCGGUGAAAGACCGGAACAGUCCCCGCUGCUGUAAUCCUGCAUUGAAUUUUGAAAUAAGAUUCAAUGGAGUAAUCUGACAAAAAAAGCCACUAUUCUAAGGAUGGGAAGGCUGUCGGAUUCGGGAAAGUCAGAAGACCUGCCGUGAGAUAUAUUUUUCA
rnacentral:ncRNA from 2 species